rnacentral:tRNA from 1 species
GUUUGUAUGUCUGCAUAGAUUAUAUUGUUAAAUCA